UACGUAGGGGGCGAGCGUUGUCCGGAAUCAUUGGGCGUAAAGAGCGUGUAGGCGGACUGGAAGGUCUGGUGUGAAAGCCCGGGGCUCAACCCCGGAGGGUCACCGGAAAACCGACAGUCUUGAAUCUGGAAGAGGAGAGUGGAAUUCCUGGUGUAGCGGUGGAAUGCGCAGAUAUCAGGAGGAACACCUGUGGCGAAAGCGGCUCACUGGACCACUACUGACGCUGGAUGACGCGAAAGCUAGGGGAGCAAACAGG
rnacentral:rRNA from 1 species